rnacentral:rRNA from 1 species
CCUACGGGAGGCAGCAGUGAGGAAUAUUGGUCAAUGGACGCAAGUCUGAACCAGCCAUGCCGCGUGCAGGAAGACGGCUCUAUGAGUUGUAAACUGCUUUUGUACGAGGGUAAACGCAGAUACGCGUAUCUGUCUGCAAGUAUCGUACGAAUACGGAUCGGCUAACUCCGUGCCAGCAGCCGCGGGAAUACGGAGGAUUCAAGCGUUAUCCGGAUUUAUUGGGUUUAAAGGGUGCGUAGGCGGUCGGAUAAGUUAGAGGUGAAAUCCCGGGGCUCAACUUAGGAAUUGCCUCGGAUACUGUUCGGCUAGAGAGUAGUUGCGGUAGGCGGAAUGUAUGGUGUAGCGGUGAAAUGCUUAGAGAUCAUACAGAACACCGAUUGCGAAGGCAGCUUACCAAGCUACUUCUGACGUUGAGGCACGAAAGCGUGGGGAGCAAACAGGAUUAGAUACCCCGGUAGUC